rnacentral:lncRNA from 1 species
AUGCUCCAGGUUUUCCUCAGGAAGAGAUCUAGCUUGGAAUGGUGUAGAGAUGGUGAAAAUAUUCUUCCUAGAAAGUACUUAAACUAUUGUUUGUUUGUUUUUUUGGCUCCUCUAGAAUUCAUUACUGACCUAGACUUGAUCACUGACCUUGAGUUGCUUAAUGAACUUGAGUUGAUUAAUGCCUUUGAGUUGACCGCUGGACUAGAGUCCACUGCUGACCUAGAGUCGACCACCCAAGAGUCCCCUACCCACCUGGAGUUGUCCACCACCACAGAGUCCACCAUGACUCCGGGGUCCCCCACCAACCUCGAGCCCACUGCCACCCUGGAGUCUACCGCCGACCAGGAGUCCACAGCAACCCCAGAGUCCCCCACUGACCUGGUGUCUACUGCCACCCCAGAGUCCACUGCCACUCCAGAAUCCCCCACCAACCUGGAGUCCACCACCACUCUAGAGUCUACCGCUGACCAGGAGUCCACAAUGACCCCAGAGUCCCCCACUGACUUGGAGUCCACUGCCACCCCGGAGUCCUCCACCAACCUGCAGUCCACCGCCACCCCAGAGUCCAUCACCGACCUGGAGUCCACUACCACCACUCCAGAGACCCCGGCCAACCUGGAGUCCACCGCUAUCCCAGAGUCCGCCACUGACCUGGAGUCAACCACUAACCUAGUCUCCAUUAGUGAUGUAGAAUCUACCACAGAUGUGCAUUUUGAGAAUGCACAAACUUUCGAAUUAUCUACUGAGGUGGAAUCAAACAUUCAUAGCUUUGAGGAAGCAACCACUAAAGCCACUGAAAGUGUCACUGCUGCUCAUUCAGAAGAGCCCAUCACUAGAGGACCAGAAGAGCCUGGAACUUCUGUGGGAAGCAACGAGUCCAUCUCAGUACUUUUUUAA